rnacentral:rRNA from 1 species
UGGGGAAUUUUGCACAAUGGGGGAAACCCUGAUGCAGCGACGCCGCGUGAUUUAGAAGGCCUUCGGGUUGUAAAAAUCUUUUUUACGGGAUGAAAAUGACAGUACCGUAAGAAUAAGGUCCGGCUAAAUACGUGCCAGCAGCCGCGGUAAUACGUAUGGACCGAGCGUUGUUCGGAAUCAUUGGGCGUAAAGGGUACGUAGGCGGCCUAGUAAGUUAGAAGUGAAAUAAUAUAGCUCAACUAUAUAAAGCUUUUAAAACUGCUAGGCUUGAGAGAUGGAAGGGAAAGUGGAAUUCCUAGUGUAGCGGUGAAAUGCGCAGAUAUUAGGAAGAAUACCGGUGGCGAAGGCGACUUUCUGGUCAUCAUCUGACGCUGAGGUACGAAAGCGUGGGUAGCAAACAGG